AACCUAUCCAGAGUCUGGAUCCACAUCACUUCCAAAGUCCUGGAGCGUUGGAUCCCCUUCAAAAAGCCUUCUUUUGGGUGUGUGGGCUGGGAUUCAGCCUCUUCUCCAUUCCUUAGGCAAAGAUGAGUCUUCCUUUGCAUAUUUCAUGCCGUGUUCAUCCGUUGCCUGUCAGGAUUCUCGGGGAACUUGGCUCCUUCACCGGGGAGUUUGAAUCAUGACUUUUUGCCUUCUUUGUGCUGCAGGGGAAGAGCAGAUUGGAGGCAGAGAAAUCGGAUUUAUUUGGCUCUUCCAGAGGUGCUGCUGGCUGUGCUGGUCAGAGCCCAGCUCUGCUGGUGGGUCAGGUGUUGAUUUUCCAAAGUGAUUUUAUUACUGAGCACAAUUUCUGCUCUAAAUGGAGGUGAGCGGUUUUCUUUUCUGAGCCGUGACCCUGCAGUAGAAACUGAACCCCAGAUGGCCCUGCAGAGGCAGCAGCAGAUUUCAACGAGGGGAUUUUGUGUCCUGCAGGUCACCCAGAGGUGUCAGGGGUUGUCAGGGCUUUGUCUCUCCCUGUUCCCAGGUGGAAGGUUGGGAUUUGGGGCACCUCGGUGGAGUCCUCACCGUGGACCUGAACACAGGGUCAAAAAUUCCACUGAUUUGGAUUAAACACGAGGCACAAAGAAGUUUUUCCUUGGAUUAACCUGCAGCUCUGCCGGUCCUCAGCAGCAAUGUGUGACAAAUGGAUUCCUGGAGCCUGUGGAAGCUGCCAGGCUGGGGCCACCCAGACAAUUCCCAGGAACACCUGGGACUGUCCGUGGCACCGAGGUCUCCUCAGGAAAUUCUGGCUUGGAUUGGAACACUGGGCCCAAAGAGAUGGCGACACGACUGAGAGCAGACCCAAAUCUCCCGGAUCUUUCCAGAGGGCUGGAGAUCAUCCUGUGCCACAGAGGGGCUGCAGGUGCUCGGUAUCUCUGCAAACCAGGCUGCUGCGCUGGGAUUUCCAUCAAGUGCCAAAUCUGCAAGGGAUUUUUAUUUUGGUUUUUUUGUGUGUGUGUGUGAACAACCUGUCCUUUGCUCGUGGCUCCUUGGCUCUGUCCCCUGGAUCCUGGAGCGCUCCCGAUAACUCGUGUUUUUCCCUUGCUCCAGUGGAGCAAACAGCUCAGUGGAGGCUCCAGGAGUGUCUUCUCCAAGUGCUGUAGCUCAGAGCGAUGUCACUUGAAUGGCUCUUAAAAUUAGGUCUGUCUGGGAGAGAAUCAUUUAAAUUCCACCGUUAAAACUCCUGGUGAUUGAGAACAAACGAAACUGCUGUGGAGGCUUCAGGAACUCACUAAUGGCUGGAAAGAAGAGGGUCAGGGUCUGGUUGGGAAUCGUUUAAAACCCUUCCCUCCCCAUUACUCACUCUUUAAGUGACACCUUGAUAGUUGCACGAGAGUAGUUAAACAUGAAUUGUUAAUACCACCAGCUUUUGUAGGGAAGGCUCUUUUUGCUCCCAAAUGAAGCUGAUUUAUUUUUGUGCUGGUUCCCACCAGUUGUCGAAGCCAUUAAAUAUCCUUAAUUGCCUGGAAAUGGAUUCACAUAAUAGAGUCCUGGUAAUUCAGAGAUCUGGGAGCUGGGGCGUUGGUGUUUCAGUCAGGGCUCCCUCGGGAAUGACGAGCCUGAAAUCACCCAGUGCCUCUCGUUCCCUGGCUUUUGAUGGAUCAGCAGCAGAGGUUCUGCAGUCUGGCUGCCAUCACCCUCAGAGGAGCAGCUGGAGAGCUCACCAGCUGUGUUUCUGUGUGUGCUGAAAUAAAAAAAAACACCUUGGGACUUCCA
ensembl:lncRNA